AGAUUGAACGCUGGCGGCAGGCCUAACACAUGCAAGUCGAGCGGUAGAGAGGUGCUUGCACCUCUUGAGAGCGGCGGACGGGUGAGUAAUGCCUAGGAAUCUGCCUAGUGGUGGGGGAUAACGUUCGGAAACGGACGCUAAUACCGCAUACGUCCUACGGGAGAAAGCGGGGGACCUUCGGGCCUCGCGCCAUUAGAUGAGCCUAGGUCGGAUUAGCUAGUUGGUGAGGUAAUGGCUCACCCAAGGCGACGAUCCGUAAACUGGUCUGAGAGGAUGAUCAGUCACACUGGAACUGAGACACGGUCCAGACUCUACGGGAGCAGCAGUGGGAAUAUUGGACAAUGGCGAAAGCCUGAUCCAGCCAUGCCGCGUGUGUGAAGAAGGUCUCGGAUUGUAAAGCACUUUAAGUGGAGAAGGUUGAACUUAAUACGUUGCAACUUUGACGUUACCGACAGAAUAAGCACCGGCUAACGUUCGUGUCCAGUCAGCCGCGUUAACG
rnacentral:rRNA from 1 species